GCAGCCAAGUCGUGAGGCGGAGCUAAUCCCUUAAAGCCAUUCUCAGUUCGGAUUGUAGGCUGAAACUCGCCUACAUGAAGCUGGAGUUACUAGUAAUCGCAGAUCAGAAUGCUGCGGUGAAUGCGUUCCCGGGUCUUGUACACACCGCCCGUCACACCACGGAAGUUGGGGGCGCCCGAAGCCACUUAGCUAACCCUUUUGGGAAGCGAGUGUCGAAGGCGAAAUCAAUAACUGGGGUGAAGUCGUAACAAGGUAAC
rnacentral:rRNA from 1 species